CCCUGGAACCGUGGGCGUCUCGGGCUAGAAGGGCAGCGCCGGGCCGAGAAGGGCCAGGUCCCCGCGCUCAGCCCCUCCGCCCCGCCCGCCGCCGGCCGCCCGUUUGAUGUCGCGGGCCCGGCAGGAAUGCGGCCGGGUUAUCAAUCACCCAGCUGGAUCCCGAAGGUCUCGGCCUAAUCACAUUUAAUUGCUCGUGGAGGCCCACUCUCGCCCCGGGCCGGCCGCCGCGCUCAAUUACUCCCCAAAUACCUGCCAUCAAUAAAUGCGCGCUGACACCGGCCCGGCCCGCUCUGGCCCAGGACAUCUCAGCCGACCAGGCGCCCCGCAUCCCGCUCCCACCCCCUUCCCCGUCAUUAAACUUACACCUCGACGCCCCGAGGAGCAAGCCAAGCAGAUAAUAACAGUCCCCUUUUAUUGAGAGCAUCCCAAGUGCCAGACACUGGUGCUCAGCGAUUUACACACUCCUUGAAGUCUCACCACCGUCUGUCUGGGAGGUGUUACCAUCUCCAUUUGAAUUAAGGGAAUUUAGGUUUAUUCUUUAAUGUUCCCCAGGUGGCAAAGGUAGGCCUUGGCCCUCCUGGGACGCGACCUUGCGACCCGGCAAUUCCACAGCCCAUAUGUAGAAGAACGAGACAAUAGUGCCUCCCAGAGGCCAAGGAUUUACCCGGAGCCCCGGCAUUAAGGUGUGCGGACCAGGUACUACCUACAGGAGUUUGUUUAUUCCUCCACCUACUCUGGGAAGUGUUUCCGUUUUCCAGAUUGGCUUCACAGGUGUCCAACUGAUUCAUCAACUCCUCAGGCAAAGCAAGCAGAUGGGAUAAAGCAAGAAAAAACCACCACACCCAGGAGCUGCCAACUGUUCCGUUUUACAACGUUCUUUUCGGUUGUCCUAUAUUCACAUUGAAGAGAAUGGGAUAGGAAAGAGGACUAUUCAGCAUUAGUCUUCCUUUUCCAGGUAGAGGGAAGUAUGAAGGAAGAACUCUUGAAACAAAUGGAAAAGCGUGGCACAGAAUCCUGCAGGUUACUGAACACUCCAAAGGAGCCAAAGGGCUUCCGAGGGGGUCCAGACAGACAGGGCCUCCAGGUCAGUGCUGCUGGGUUCAAGCCUUCGCUCCACCGACUCUGGGGCCAGGCACGCAACCUCUCUGGAACUCGAUUUCUUUGUACAUCACCUGUGGAUGACAACAGCACUGAUCUUGGAUGAUGCUGUGAGGAUAACAUGCUACCCUUGACAUCUGACCUGGAGAAACCCCUUCCGGAAGUGCCGGCAAACCUAGUCCUCUUGGUGAGGAUUCUGGUCCUUAUCUUGGGCGUUGAGUAGCCACUCGAGGUUUUCAAGCUAGUCGUGACAGGGCCUGGUAGGACAUCAGGGCAGGAGGAGUGGGAUGCAGACAAAGGAAUAACUGAGCUGGUUGCCCUGGUGCCAUUUUGGAUAAUAUGGGCGACAACCCUAAACUUCUCAGUGUUGAGGCAGGUACCCGUGACUGAGCAAGACUUGCCAACCUGAGCCAUUUUGCAGUCACCUAGAGUAGAAGUUUUAAUAAUCUAUCUAGCUCUGGUACUCCUCAGUGUCCCUCCUCCGCCCUCACGAUGCCCACCCAUGGUAAGGGGCACUUCAAAGCCCCAAAUAAACAUUGCGGGGAUUUCAAGAAUCCCAUAGUCACACCUUUCCUCCGCCUCCCAUCCUUCCUCCCUGCCCUUUUAACAUCCACCUUGCUGUUUUCCCUGCUCUUUUUUUUUUUUUUUUAAACUGGAGUAUAAUUGCCUUAGGAUGUUAUUUUUGUUUUUGCUGUCCAAGAAGUGAAAAUGUAUUCAAUGUCCCCUUCCUCUUGAACCCCUCUUGGCCCCCCUCCGCCAUCCCACCCCUCGGUCAUCACAGACACUGAGCUGAGCUCCCUGUGCUAUCCAGCAGCUUCCCCCUUGACAAGGUGUCUGAUGACAGUCUGAAGGAUUCUGGAGUGGAAGGGAAUGGGUGCCAGGGGAAAACAAACAAAAUGCCUGCCUCAGGAAGCUCAAGGUCCUGGGCUUUUACAACUUUGAACAACGAGCAGCAGCUCCUUCCCCAAAGACUUCCACUCUGUCUCGGCUUUAAAAGUCAGCCUCAUGAAAGCGUUUCCAACGUGCAUUUAAAAUCAUCCAUCCAAAAGAUAACUAAAUCAUGGCCAUUCAUUCCUCUCGACCCAUCACACUGCAAUGAAAACAUGUAUUUAACUGAGAAAACACUGAGCCUUCCCCCUCCCCGGCCUCUGUCUUUUUUUCUUCUCCCUUUCUUUGAGGGCUCAAAAUGUUAUGAUUCAUCUCAGCACUGCCUAAUGCAGCAGUGAAUUACAGGCCCCAGAGACUUCCAAACCCGGAGGGGUCCAGGCCGAGAACGUCCCUCAGUUCAUCCCGGCCAUUCUCUCUCCAGCCAACUGUGUUUGUUCCCUGACUCCUUUUGAUCAUUCCUUAUAACAGUAGCCAAGCAGAGGAAAUGAAGCUUUUGUAUUUAAACUAAUCCAUGACCCUGGAUAAUUUGUAAGAGACAUCUAUGAGGGGUUAAAAAUGAGCCUCUGACUGCUUGAUGUGGAGACGUCCCAGACACACCACGGCUCCCGUGGUGGGAUCAUAGAAUUGCAGGGCGAAUGAAAGGAUAUCAGAGUGUGCAGUGUCCUUUGGGAAUAUCUGUCUAGUCCAACUCUCUCAGUUUGAAACAUGGAGAAACAGAGGCCCAGAGAGGGAAGGAGACCUGCCCUGACUAGCAAUUUUCUGUGGGAUUUCUGACUCUGAAGAAGACUAGACCGUCAAGAGCAGUGUGGUUCUCCAGCUAUCAGAUGCUAACCUGUCCCCCUGCUGUCCAGGGGCUACUGUCAGAUAAGCGUUCCGUCUGUCUGUCCUCAGAGUCUGAUCUUCAGGCUCACACGUGUGCUGACUUUAGCAGAUAGCAGAAACACCAGCCCCCAGUUCAACUCGACAAUACAGUUUUAUUUUUCAGUGACCUUUAAUGAAGGAGGUGAGGGUUUAAUUUCAGGAUGAAGGUUUUGGGCUCCAGGAUCAGAAUGCAUGUGCUUCUCGUCUCCUGGGGAUAACAGCAGAACCCAACUCCCCAGUUGUAAGCAUUAAAUGAGUUCAUUGUGGUCAAUCAAGUACUCACAGUGACCAGCCCCAAGGAAU
ensembl:lncRNA